GCCGGGACCUCCCAAACAGCGCGUAGAAACCCAACGAGCGCGUAAUGAUGACGCAACACGCAGCCUAGGAUUUUUUUUCUUCCCCAGCGACGCGGAGCGGAAAAUGUCUAGGCUCGCGCUGUUGCCAUGGAAGAUUGGUGAUUUUGGUCUCACCAGGCCCUCUCUCUUGUGUUUGAGGGAUUUUGAACUGAACAAGGUUAUUCUGCCUUUUCAUGGCAAUGGAAGUGAUCUCCAGUGAGUGGCACCUGUGUCAGCUGAGAGAACAAAGUCCCUUCCUGCUUGCUGGUCACCUUGCCUGUCUCUGCUGCCUGUGCCAGCCACUGGCACAAAGGGAGCAACUUCUGGGCACUGAAGGCUGAAGUCUGAUAUCAAGAUUUUGACAGUGUUGUCAUCCGAGGACCAUGAUAGAAGGAUCAGUUCCAAGCCUUUCUUCUUAGUUUAUAGAUGGUCAUCUUCUCCCUGUGUCUUUACCUAAUUUUCCUUCCUUAUCUGUGUUCAAGUUUCCUCUUCUUAGGAGGGCAUCAGUCAUAUUGGAUUAGAGCCAACCCUAAUAACUACAUUUUAACUUAAUUACCUCUCUAAAGGCUCUGUCUCCAAGUGCAGUCACAUUCUAAUACACUGGGGUUUAGGACUUCAGCCUAUCAGUUGGGGGUAGGAGCAUAAUUCUGCCCAUAACAGGGGGCAAGAGAGUAGAAGGAUUCUCUACUGAACCCUGAAACCUUCUAGAAUGGCAGCAUUUGUUAGAGCUGAAAACCAGUCCUCUAAUUUUUCUUUCUUCUGACUGUAAAUAUGAUCAUUCUUCAAAGUUCAGUCCUUGGUCUUCUGCUUGUCUCACUCAAGUGUUUCCCAGCAUAGACCAGUUAUAAUGGUGCCUAAAUAUGUUUUUCAAAUCUUACUCAGCUAUAGACUCAAGAGAGGUUAAUCUUACUGUUUAUAAACCUAACACAUUUUUUAAAAAGUUACUAUAAACAUCUAAAUUAUUGAUAUGGAAGAAAAGUUUGAAACCACCUCUCCUCCUAGAAUGCAGAAGAAAAAGACAAUGAGAUUUAAAGAAAUAAUAAAUAUAGGAGUUAGAGGGCUGAAGAACAACCUUUAAUUAUUAUAAUCAAACUAUUCACACACACAAAACAAACAGAAUAAAUAAUAAAUAUUCAUGAAUUCUCAGUCUGCAAGUGAAAGCUCACUAGACUUUAGGCAGAAGUGAUUAAAAAAGACUAUACAUUAAAAAAUUUCCUAGAUAAUUCUUUUAAUUUCAAGAAUUUACAAAUUUAAAAAGGGACAAAAAUUCCUAAAAUUCAUAUGGAACCACAAAAGACCUUGAAUAGCCAAAACAAUCCUGAGAAGGAAGAAUAAAGCAAGGGGAAUUACACUCCCCAACUUCAAACUCUACUACAAAGUCACAGUAAUCAAGACAAUUUGGUAUUGGCACAAGAACAGACCCAUAGACCAAUGGAACAGACUAGAGAGCCCUGAUAUAAACCCAACCAUAUAUGGUCAAUUAAUAUACGAUAAAGGAGCCAUGGACAUACAAUGGGGAAAUGACAGCCUCUUCAACAGCUGAUGUUGGCAAAACUGGACAGCUACAUGCAAGAGAAUGAAACUGGAUUAUGGUUUAACCCCAUACACAAAAGUAAACUCAAAAUGGAUUAAAGACUUGAAUGUAAGUCAUGAAACCAUAAAACUCUUAGAAGACAACAUAGGCAAACAUCUCCUGAAUAUAAGCAUGAGCAACUUCUUCCUGAACGCAUCUCCUCGAGCAAGGGAAACAAAAGCAAAACUGAACUCAUGGUACUACAUCAA